ensembl:snRNA U6 U6 spliceosomal RNA
GUGCUCACUACAGCAGCACAUAUACUAAAAUUGGAAUAAUACAGGGAAAAUUAGCAUGGACCCUGUGCAAGGAUGACACACAGAUUCAUGAAGCAUUCCAUGUUUAA